GGCACCCUCCCCAGCUGGGACCUGUUGCCCACAGGCACAGUGGGUUAAAGUGGGCCACACUCCCUCAAACAGAUGCUGCCCUCAUGCCAUUCGCGGGUAGAGGAUGAGAGAGAGACUCAGGUGUUUAGGAUUUAAGACUUAGGCACUUUAUUGCCAGUUCCCCAAACUGUCAGUUGAGAGGAGUGACUUCUCAGCAGCUAGAAAUGGCUAAGUGUGGAGGCUGCCAAGCAUACUUCCAGGCUAGCUGAAUUUGCUUUGGAUAGUGCCUAGCAUGAAGCCCCAAACCCAGGAAGCCCACAGGAACCCCUGCACCCACAGGGCAUCCGGGCUGCUCUUGGGUCACCAGGUGCCACAAUGCAUCUCUGAAACAGGAAGAUCAUGCCUUCAUGCUGUCUGUGACCACUACUCCGGUGGGGCUUCUAGGAAACCUUGGCUGUCCUUAACGCCUUUCAUGCCCCAACCCACACGUGUGUGUGUGUGUGUGUGUGUUCCAGUUUCACUCAGCAUUUUGUAUGGGCAGGUAUAAGGUGGGAGACCUGAGAACAAGCCCCCAUGUGAAUGCUGUGCCGACGUGGAUGAGCCCCUUUGGAAGAAUGGAUAACUGUGGUGCCUAGCCAGGUGACCUUGCUAGUCCCACCCUGGACACCUGGGGGAUGGCCACGUGGGAACAUCCUUCCACCUGGAACCUGUUCUAUGUCCCCAAUACUCUUCAGGGCCUGCAGCCUGUGCUUCCUCCUAGGGGCAACCUAAGACCUAGCCACAUCCAAAACAGGAGGCUGACAUCAGAGCACAAUAGCCAGUGUGGAAUGAAACCAGGUUCUCUGGAAGGAGAUCAGCCAUGUCUGAGCUCAGGAACCGAAAGGCCUUCACAGUGCCCACUCAGGAAAUGCCCUCCUGCUACGGUAGUGACCCACUGCUUAACCUCCCCAGAGCCAGCUCCUCACCCAAAUGAGACGCGUGCCAGGAGAUAUGGUCCAACCUCCAUCCCACCCCAACCGCCCACCCGCGGUGGGUUAGGAGAGCCGGCCUUCCAGAGGUGAGGGUGGUGGGUGGGCCACGGGGAGGGCUACCCCCUCCCUCGAUCCUCCUCACCGCCCCCCCCCCAACCCUAGCAGCUUUGAUCCAAUUUUCAGUUGUGGGAAAUAUGAAAUGAAUGGUGUUAAAUCCCAGCCGGAUGAAAGGCUGGUUGCCUCCCCGAGUGCGGGCCAGAUGGCAGCCCAGGCGGCCUCUGAGGCACACGCCUGGCCUUUGUGGGCCGUUUAACACUGUGAAUGGGGCCAAAGUGUGGGAAACUCUCUGGGCUCCUGGCUCACACCAUCCGAUUUGAGUAGCUGCAAAGGGGGAGGGGUAAAGGCUGCCUCUGGCUGGCGGGCUUUGCCCGGCAGAAGCACUGCAAGGUGGGGGAGGGGCGUUGGGUUCCUCCUGCCACCGCAGCCGCAUGGGGCAGGAUAGGAGUCCUUCUCUAGUUUGCUCUUCCUGUACCUUUCAGAGCAACCCACCUGAGCGCUCAUUAAGUCUGGGAGAAGGGACAGUAGUCGAGGCUGGGCAGGGUCUGGAGUUGGCAAGGCCCCUAUAUCAAUUGCUCACGCUACUUUAUACAUCAGGGUGGAGGUGGGGAUCCGGUAAACUGAGUCUGCCCUGGUUACUCUGGAAAGUCAGAGGAGCUUGGUUGAGGAGCGCCUUGGACGAGAAAGGAUUCUGUUCCCAGUCUCUGAAGGAAGGCUCAUUUUGGAUGGGAGUACAGGGCUGUGAUAAACAGUUUAAAGGGCAGAAAAACACAAACGGAAUUAUUUUGUAACUCAGCAGUUCUGCCUCCAUGUCUACGCUCAUAAAAGUUAUAAGCAGACUCAAGCUUUUCUGUACUGGCACUCACAGCUGUGCGGUACACAGGGUGCCAAGGAGCCAGGGCCACUCAAGUAUCCUCGGACCAACAGACAGAGAAUAGGGGAAGCAUUCGCAGAGUGGAAGACCGCUCAUUCGUACACAGCUGUACCUCGAGGGUGUUACUCUAAGAAGACAAACCAGUCCCCCAAAGGACAGACCCUGCAUGACUCCAGUUACAGGAGGGACCUAGGGUCCUCAAAUCCGUGGGCAGAAAGUGGAACAGCGACUGUGAAGAGCUGGGGCGGGAGGAAGAAGGGGGACAGUUCUGGCUUGGGAAGAUGAACAUGGGUGGUGGUGACAGCUGUGUCACAUCGUAAGUAUAUUUAACAAGUGUGAACAGAA